UACGUAGGGUCCGAGCGUUGUCCGGAAUUAUUGGGCGUAAAGGGCUCGUAGGCGGUUCGUCACGUCGGGAGUGAAAACUCGGGGCUUAACCCCGAGCCUGCUUCCGAUACGGGCAGACUAGAGGUAGGCAGGGGAGAGCGGAACUCCUGGUGUAGCGGUGGAAUGCGCAGAUAUCAGGAAGAACACCGGUGGCGAAGGCGGCUCUCUGGGCCUUACCUGACGCUGAGGCACGAAAGCUAGGGGAGCAAACAGG
rnacentral:rRNA from 1 species